CCCCUCCAGUUUCCUUCCCCGUCAGCUGUAAACACUGGUCUGAGUGGUUGCAAAAGGCGGGAAGGUAACAUAGAAACCGACUUCAAUGCUUUUUGUAGCACAUGGUCUAGUUUCAAACCGUG
rnacentral:snoRNA from 1 species